CCUACGGGAGGCUGCAGUGGGGAAUUUUGGACAAUGGGCGCAAGCCUGAUCCAGCAAUGCCGCGUGUGUGAAGAAGGCCUUCGGGUUGUAAAGCACUUUUGGCGGGAGCGAAACGGCGUUUGCUAAUACCAGACGCUAAUGACGGUACCCGCAGAAUAAGCACCGGCUAACUACGUGCCAGCAGCCGCGGUAAGACGUAGGGUGCGAGCGUUAAUCGGAAUUACUGGGCGUAAAGCGUGCGCAGGCGGCUUUGUAAGACAGGUGUGAAAUCCCCGGGCUUAACCUGGGAACUGCACUUGUGACUGCAAGGCUAGAGUGUGUCAGAGGGAGGUGGAAUUCCGCGUGUAGCAGUGAAAUGCGUAGAUAUGCGGAGGAACACCGAUGGCGAAGGCAGCCUCCUGGGAUAACACUGACGCUCAUGCACGAAAGCGUGGGGAGCAAACAGGCUUAGAUACCCCAGUAGUC
rnacentral:rRNA from 1 species